UACGAAGGGGGCUAGCGUUGCUCGGAAUCACUGGGCGUAAAGGGCGCGUAGGCGGCCAUUCAAGUCGGGGGUGAAAGCCUGUGGCUCAACCACGGAAUUGCCUUCGAUACUGUUUGGCUUGAGUAUGGUAGAGGUUGGUGGAACUGCGAGUGUAGAGGUGAAAUUCGUAGAUAUUCGCAAGAACACCAGUGGCGAAGGCGGCUCACUGGCCCGAUACUGACGCUGAUGCACGAAAGCGUGGGGAGCAAACAGG
rnacentral:rRNA from 1 species